AAUUCAAAAAAAUUAGGGGCAAAAAUGUCAAAUUGAAAACUUUUCUAGGGUUGGUUCCAAAUUUUCUCAUUCGAACGUAUUGGGAAAAAAUAUUCUCUCUCGUCUCAACUCUCAACCAUGAACGGACUGAGAAACUGAACUGCCGACAUCCUCUUCGUUUGAUCACGCCUUUUUCUCCGGUACAGACCUGCUCAACUUAGAAGGGGUAGGGCAUAAGUGGUGGUGAUGUUGGUUGGAAUGAAAACAAAGAAGAAGCGACUUCGACAUCUGCAACAUCAGACCAAGUGUUUGAUCAAUUGACAAUACAUAAGUUAUUUGAAGGACACAAUAUGAAUUACAUCGAAUGCAUCAAUGUGGACUUCAGAUCAACAAGAAAAUAACCAUACUAUGAUAAAUGGAAAAUAUCUAUCUCCUGAUGCUGAUAAGUGUGUCUGGAAUCUUUAUAACCUGCAUAGGUAUCAAAUGUGGCUGUCAAAUAUUAGGUAUUUGCAAAAUCAGGACUUACCUUUUCACUGUGUAUCCUGGCAGUGUAUUGGUUAAUAAUGGUGGUGUGCAUGGUGGACACUACUAUGCAUUUAUCAGGCCAACUCUUCCAGAUAAAUGCUACCCUGGUUUCAAUAAUGCACCGUUUAAAAUUUACAAAAUACUCGAACGCAUACAUGCUUGUUUACAUACGUGAAAGCGACAAAGAGAAGAUAAUUUGUGAUGUAGAUGAGUUUGUGAUGUAUUAAGGAUCAAAGGUUUUUUUUUUGCAAUCAUAGUUUGAUGUUAUAAUGUUAUAUUUAUUAUUUUUUUAAUUGAUAUAAUGUUAUAUUUA